rfam:Schistosoma margrebowiei strain Zambia genome assembly, scaffold: SMRZ_scaffold0002822
AUUCAGUUGACGAGUCUAAAAUAGGACGAAACGCGUGUCCUGGAC